UACAGAGGGUGCGAGCGUUAAUCGGAAUUACUGGGCGUAAAGUGCGCGUAGGCGGCUUUGCAAGGCGGGUGUGAAAUCCCCAGGCUUAACCUGGGAACUGCAUUCGAGACUGCGUUGCUAGAGUAUGGGAGAGGGAAGUGGAAUUUCCGGUGUAGCGGUGAAAUGCGUAGAUAUCGGAAGGAACAUCAGAGGCGAAAGCGACUUCCUGGACCAAUACUGACGCUCAUGUGCGAAAGCGUGGGGAGCAAACAGG
rnacentral:rRNA from 1 species